AUUGAACGCUGGCGGCAGGCCUAACACAUGCAAGUCGAGCGGAUGACGGGAGCUUGCUCCUUGAUUCAGCGGCGGACGGGUGAGUAAUGCCUAGGAAUCUGCCUGGUAGUGGGGGACAACGUUUCGAAAGGAGCGCUAAUACCGCAUACGUCCUACGGGAGAAAGCAGGGGACCUUCGGGCCUUGCGCUAUCAGAUGAGCCUAGGUCGGAUUAGCUAGUUGGUGAGGUAAUGGCUCACCAAGGCGACGAUCCGUAACUGGUCUGAGAGGAUGAUCAGUCACACUGGAACUGAGACACGGUCCAGACUCCUACGGGAGGCAGCAGUGGGGAAUAUUGGACAAUGGGCGAAAGCCUGAUCCAGCCAUGCCGCGUGUGUGAAGAAGGUCUUCGGAUUGUAAAGCACUUUAAGUUGGGAGGAAGGGCGUUUGGCUAAUAUCCAGGCGUUUUGACGUUACCAACAGAAUAAGCACCGGCUAACUUCGUGCCAGCCGCCGCAGUAAGAC
rnacentral:rRNA from 1 species